CUGAUGGCUUUUAUUGCAGAACUCUAGGCAGGAGCAAGAUGCACUAAGCAAGGGAGACUGUUCCGAACCCUUGGGAAUGGAGGCACAGGUCAGGUUUAUGCCCAGUCGCAGCACUCACAGCUGGGGUCAAAGACAAGCCCCACCUGGCAAUUCUGCUGGUAUGUGACUCCAUUCACGUACUUUCUGUGCCAGAAGGCAUUUCUGUUAUUCACCACGGGGUAGAGGCCGUUGGCUUUGCCAGCACAGAACCCACUACCCACAGAACUGCCUCCAGAGCUGCUUCCGGAGGAGCUGCUCCCGCUUCCACUUCCGGUCCCACUUCCGCCGCUGGGAGGAGAGGUUAUGGGCUCAACUGGCUUAGCAGGGCGGGUGCAACCCGAAAUAGCACAAAGCAGAUUAGUGGACCUGGAAGGGGCACCCAGAUUGCCUUGAGGCCGUUGAAAGCUUGAUAGAAAGUCACAUCAUCCCAUUCAGUGGUGGUGAUCUCGUUGUUCCGCAUCCCAGCAAAGGCAUAGAUCAGGAUUCUCUUGGAAAUUUAAAAUGAUGAAAGAAGAAUGGAAGAGCCUAGGGGCGUAAUGCGAAGGCUAUCAGAUCCAGAGAGAAGAAGAAAUCAGCUAGUGAUCAAGCCUGUGACCUAGAAUCUGGCAAUCAGUGUGAGUCCUGGAUUUCAAAGUAAGCAGCGUAAGAGAUGGCCGUAUGCGAGAGAAUCCACCUUCUAGGAAGUGCCAUGGUGGACGUGACUUGUUCUUCCAGGGCAGCAAUGUUCAAGAAAGCCUUCUAAACAAGGUCUCUGAACAGCAGGCAGACCAAAGAUGAGUGUCUCCUGAACAAGUGACAUAUGGAGGAGAUGGGGAAAAGUCAUCACUCACCAGGACAUCUGGGGGAAUCUCAUAGUCAGACUGGAUGUUGGAGAUGCCAGCAGCUACCGCGGUGGUGACCAUCAGCCUGGGCUUGUUAAUCUGCUUGGCUUAUUCAUAAGCUUCACAUGUCUCCUGUACAUAGGAGAAAGUCUAUGAACAUCAACUCUUGAGUUGAUUUCCAUGACCACUCUUUGAAUUAAAUUAAUCUUUCCCAUUCUUCAUUCUUUAGCAUCCUCACUAGAAUAGGAUCCUUCAUCUCCAACUGAUACUGUAGGGAGCUAGGUUUUCUGUACAGCCUCAGUGAUCUUUCUUAGACUGGUUGUAUGCUUUCCAGCCAAAAUGAUAUGGAACAUGGCUCCCCUGCACUGGAAUAGUAAAGAGAUGCUUGUCCUGAGGAGGGUUCCCAUGAGAGCCAGGGUACUCUCAAAGUCCAACCCAUUAAACUCGUAAGGGGGCAGGAAUUUGGUGAUUGAGGCAACGAAGGUCUGGCGGUUCUGAGGAGUGGAGACCAUGGCAGUGAAGCUGAGGGAGACCCAAAGAACACUGGGUGAGGGAACACCCUGAUGGUCCCAAUACCUGGUAGUAAAAUCAGUGUAGGAAGUCAUCUCAAAAAACUUCUGGAGCAGUUCUAACGUUUUAGCCACCAAAAGCCAGGAGAGUUUUCAGUCAACUAUUUCUGAGGAAAAAGAAGCAAAGAUUUGCUGAUCAGAACAAAUGGAAAGAUCAUUCAUUUCAACAUUAGCUGUUAGAGGGAUUGAUGCAGCCUCUCAUACUGGUUUUCUUCGUUCUCAUCCUUAUUCCUAAAUUGUGAGAGUGAUUGAAGUAGGUGGCCUGAGAUUGGUAUGUUUCAAUGUCUCUACAGUUCUAAUUACUGCCUUUGGAGUGAAGCCCCUGGCUGAGGACACUGAGUGCUUCAUCAAUGCCAGCCUUGAAUUGCUUCCAAGUGGAAGAUUGUUUUCAUCUGAGUCCACAAGUACUUGGACUUUUCUAAAUUUCCUUGGCAAUGGAGCUGGACUUUAAUUGACAACCACCUCCUGUGAGCCAGCCAUUCCCCUUAAUGUUAGAAUCACCUCUGUAUUGGAAAUAAUAAGCAAGCUUGAAACUUAACUGUGUGCUGCACGUCAGCCUAUUUGGAAUUGCAGCCUAGUGGCUGCUAUGAAAGUUUUUGCUCAAACUACUCCUGAAGGUUAAAACAUUUUGAUCCUUGGUCCUUUCAUUACUUACUUAUUUUUUUAGGUCAUUGAAAGCUUGGUAGAGCCACAUCUCUGCAUUCACAGAUAGUGAUCUCAUUUCACAUCACAGCAAAGGCUUAGAUCAGUGAGUACAGAGGCAGGGGUUGAUACCCCUAGACUUGAAGCCCCCCCCCCCCCCAGGCUUGGCAGGUCCUGGGCCCAGUUGAUGAAGUGUCAGCUGAUAGGCAGAACCCAUUACUCAAAAGGUGAGAAACUAUUGCAGGAAAAGCUCCCUAGAGAGUCAAACAUAGCUUCAGAAACCACAGAUUUCCAGAUAACUUUCCUGUUUAACUGUCAAAGGGAGAGAGAAGAUCUGUAUGAGAACCUUGUGUAUUGCAGCAAACCCAUAAUUAGCAGGCAAUUCAGGAAGAUAGCUCUUAGAGGUAGCUCUGUCCCUCCAAGAGAAUUAAUGAACCUUAAAAAUCAGAGCCUUAAGCCGGAAAUGAAAGCUUAUAGCUAGUAAACUUUGAUUUAAAUGUAUUCUAGCUUCUUCCACAUCCUAAUAAUAGCAAUUUCUAAUGCUUACUCAGCACCUGUUAUAUACCAAGUGCUACUCUGAGUAAUUUACUUAAAUUCACUCAUUAAUCCUCACCAAAACCCUAUCAGGUAAGUCCUAUUAUUACUUCCAUUUUAUUCAUUUGGAAACUGAAACACAGGAUAGUGGUAGAAGUCUGUUUAGCAAUUAAAGCUGUUGCCCUGAGUAAUAAUUUCACCCAGGGAGAAAUGAACCAUCCACUAGCAGUCGGGAGUCCUGGUUUCUGGUUUAGAUUCUGCCAUGAACUCUCUGUAUCUCUAGGACAAGUCAUAUGACUAAUCUCUGUCUUAGUUUACUGGCCUGUGUGAUGGGGUAUUAAUGCCUUUCCUGUCCACUUCUCAGAAAAGAGUUGUUUCAAAGACUCAGUAAGAUGGCAGGCUUGAAAAUGCUUCAACAGAGCCAAAGACACCAUGUGCAUCGCUUCACCUUACUAUUUUUUAUUGUUAACAUUCAUUUUUAAGGCCACUACCAGUGGGUUUCAGCUUUUGGAUUUUCGGGUCAAUGAUCCCAGUCCUGAAAAUGUGAUUACGUGAUUUCAAACUCUCUAAAAAAUGAAUUGCUAUUCUUUGUUUGAAGUAGAAAGACAAAUGCUGAAUUUCCAAAUUAUGAAGACAAAAAGGAACAAUAUGUUGGCCCAUCCCAAGGAUGCAUACCUAUCUCAGCUGUAAGCACAAGAAGCAGAUCUUAAAGAAACAUAAUAAUGAACUAGAGGAAGAGCAGCCUUUGUAAACUAGUGCUUUACUUGUAGUAGGAAACUUUUCCUGUUUUACUCUUUGAGCCUUUUUAAUACUGUCUGUAGUCUCCCAACCUACUGAGGCUGAUAAAACCUCAAGGUUUCUCCUGGAAACUCACUCCCCUUUGCUUUUACUCACAAGACCAUUAAGGUGCCAUAAUCUUGAGACUUGUGAAGGGGAGUGCGGGUGGGGAGGAGAGAGCGGGGCAGUGGGAGGCCUAUCACUUGGGAAGGGACUCUGUCCCUGUACUUUUGCCAAAGGCUAUCAUCUCAGGCAAUUUGUUUAAAAGUUUUUAAAGGGGUAAAAAAAACAAGAGGGAGAGAGUGGCUCAUAGGCACAGAGCUGUGGUGGUUCUUGCCAGGGAGGAAGGUGAAGUUGGCCAUCUUGCCUCAGUGGUAGAGACUACCUCAUCUAACUUGCCUUUUAGACUCUCCUUCUCCUCUCCCAAGACUUAACAGAUUCUUCUUUACUGUGAUUGCCCCUAAAGUAAAUGUUUAUCUUGGUAGUGUUCACAAAGCUCAAACCCAUUUAAGAACCCAUUAUUGGCUGGGAAACCACUACUAUCUUGAUUUUGCUUUAUGAGAAAAGAUUGGGCUCAAACCCAGGAACCAUACCAGUAAGCUCCAUUAUGGGGUGGCUUACAUAAUUCAAAAUGGUUUAUUUACAGUGGACUAUAGUCUGUUUGGAUAGUGAAGCAACUAAUUGACUAUUUCACACUUUCUUUGACAGGCAGAAGCAUUGGCUAAAUUUACAUUCAUUCAUUGUUUGCAGUCAUCCAUUCAUUCAUUGUAAGAAGAAAGGUUCCUCUUUAAGCAAAGGGAUAGAGGGGAGUAGCCUACUCUGUCUUUUUGCCCCCAAAUCUCCUUUCCUCCUAUUUAUUUGCCUGUUCCUGUUCUUCCUACUUCAUCCUAGACUUCUAUUGCUGAAGUGGCCCUAGCUUGGUUCCUCUUUGCUCAGGCUCCAUCCCACAGGCUUGGCUGCCCCCAGCAUAACAUACCUGGCCACCAGACCCUGAGUUUAAGAGGUGAUACUUCCCAGGUGGUUAUUUUCCCCUAGGCCAACACUCUUCCUGCUGCCCACAUUUUGUAAAUGGUUCCAAAUUUCUCCUGGUCACUGAAGCUCUCCCCAUAGGAGUCUUUUUGACUUAUCCCUUUACUCUCCACAACCCAUUGGUCACUGAGAUAUAGUGCUCUUCUCCUUGGUGCCAGAGUGCCUCCUUCUCAGGAUGCUCUAUUCCACUCUCUACCACCACUGCUCUUAGAGCUUAUCAUCUGUGGCAGUGUAGUGUGGACUCCCAUUUCCUCAUUUCCUUUUAAAUCUAGUCUAUAUAUGGCCCCAAGUCCCUAGAGGUGGUGGUGAUGGUGGUGGUAGGGACUUUAAUGGCUCCCCAUUGCCACAUAGGGUGAGUCCUUUCUCCUUUAUCAGACUCUCCACAAUCUAGCCUCAAAGUACCUUUCCUGCCUUGCCUCCUGCUAUCUUUUCAGGAUAAAUCUUGCAUAUUAAAUUAUACCAUUCUACAUGACCCAAACCAGUCUCGUCUCCAUGCUCUUGCUGGAGCCAUUCCCUCUGUCUAGAAAAUAGCAUAUAUUCCUUCUGUACCCAAGUCCCACCACCAUCUCCCAAAUGCUUUCCACCAUGACACCUUUCCCAAUCAUCACCUCUGGAAGUGAUUGUCUUCUUCAUCUCUGAAUCUCUGGCAUUUUGUUUUACCACUCAGAUAACUCAGUGCUUAUUCUAAUGGACCAUUUGUAGGGAAGAAGUGUGGAAUGAGUGGAAGGGCCAUACACGUUGAGGUUCAAAGCCUAUUUACUACUACUUGGGUGUGAGAAAUUGGGGAAGUUUCUUAAUCUCAGCUUCUUAAUUUGUAAAAGGGGUAUACAAAUGUCUACUUUUCAAGGCAGUUCUUAAGCCUUGAACUAAAUAUAUAUAAAGAAAUAAAGUACAUAAUAAGCAACCUAAAAUGAUAACUAUAAUUAUAGAAUAGUGCAUAUGUGCGUUAUCUCCCCUCUGCUUAUGAACACUAAUCAAACCAAUGUUGACUCUCAUAUCACACCUAAGUUCUAUUUCCUGUGCAAAAUCGGCCCCCAAAUAAACAUUGAACACCAAAUGAAUUAAUUUUAGUAGGAGUAACCAUUGUGAGUAUUUUAUCUACAAGAGCAGGCUGGUACAAGGGCAUCUUUUGGAGCAGGAAUAUUCUGCCCCAAGUCAUACCUUGUAGAAAACUGUCUAGACACGAUCUUAGUGCAAGCAUUAGGAAUUGCUGGAUAAAUUUCAGUUGAGUUUUGUAGUCUGAGAAGGGCUGCUAUAAAACUUGUAGCCAUAAAAGUGAGGCACUGAUGGGGCACCUGGGUGGCUCAGUCAGUUAAGCGUCCGACUUCAGCUCAGGUCAUGAUCUCACGGUUUGUGAGUUCGAGCCCCGCAUCGAGCUCUGUGCUGACAGCUCAGAGCCUGGAGCCUGCUUUGGAUUCUGUGUCUCCCUCUCUCUCUGCUACUCCCCUGCUCAUGCUCUGUCUCCCUCUGUCUCAAAAAUAAAUAAAAACAUUAAAAAAAAAAGUGAGGCACUGAGGCAGUGUGCACAUCAGGUACACCCGGAGGAAAGGUAAGUGUGGUUUUUCUUACAUUGUGCUCCAGCCCUCCCAGCUCCCCAUUGUUCUGUCCUGUGUUUCUCUAGCUGUGUUUCAGAAUGUUCCAAGUGUUCCUGUCCCUUACAAAUAAAAUGAGUGAGCUAGGGAGCACUAGCAGUAUAGCAUAUGCAGAGCUCUGCUGGUGCCUGUGGAUGUGGACUCAGCCCUACCUCUGAUUUGUUUUUAGUUUCCAAUCUGUCAAAUGGCAUUGAGGUCCUGACCCUCCCAGAUCUUAGGGCUCUCAGAGGAGUUCAAGGAAAUUCACAAUCGUGAACUUUGUGAUAGUUUAGUAGUAGAGCUGCUUUCUUUGAAAGUUUUCUCCUCCUGUGUGGGCUCCUGGAAAGCCCUAGGGGGCUAUUAGUAUGCCUUUGUUCUGGGCUGUCUUUCAAUGGUAAAGGCAGAACCCAGCCUAUAAUUCCAGGGCAGUACUGUUCAUACCCCUCAAAGGACUUUAAGAACCAAAAUCACAGCAGUAGUAAGGGCAGGGCGAGGGAGGGGGGCAAGAGGCAGAUAUACCCUUUAACCCAAGUACAAUGUUCAAUGGAUGAGAAAGUGUCCUCGACUUGGCAGUCAGGACAUGUCUAGUGUGAUCUCUGCCAUUAACAUGCUGAAGGCUUUAGGUAAAGUCACUUAAUCUCUUUGGCCUCCUAUCUCAUGUAUUUGUAACAAAUGAUUUCAAUGGUACCUUCUAGAAACAGAUUAACAUACUCUCACUCUGUCUCUCUCCUUCCCAUGUGCUGUUAUAUCAGAUGCUAGAAUACCUAAACCUUUUAAGGAGAAUACAGGGGCGCCUGGGUGGUUCAGUCAGUUAGGCAUCCGACAUCAGCUCAGGUCAUGAUCUCACGGUUCAUGGGUUCGAGCCCCACGUCAGGCUCUGUGAUGACAGCUCAAGGCCUGGAGCCUGCUUCAGAUUCUGUGUCUCCCCCUCUCUCUGCUCCUCCCCCAUUCAUGCUCUGUGUCUCAAAUGUAAAUAAACGUUAAAAAAAUUUAAAAAAUAGAAUACAUGGGGAGAUUCUCAAAUUCCCUAUGUAUUCUUUACUAGAAUUUAUUUGCCUCCAAACUAGUUUGCAAUCUGAAGAUUUUCCUUCCUUGCUUUCCUUUUCACAAUUGCUAUUCUUUCCAAAGAGGAGAAAAAACAGAAUGUAAAAUGUGGGUCAAAAAGGAUUGUAGAUUUAGUUCUUUCUCUUCAGUGAGGCAGUCAGUCAGCAGAGGUAGAGAUGUAGAUCUUUGUAAGACCCUGAUGGGCAAGACCACACCCUUGAGGUUGAGGAGUGUCAUCAUCAAGAAUGUCAAAGCCAAAAUUCAAGACAGGGAAGGCUUCCCACUUAACCAGUGGCAUCUGGUUUUUGUGAGUAAACAGUUGGAGAGUGGCCACACUCAGACUGCAACAUCCAGAAAAAAAUCCACCCUGAACUCAGUGUUUCUCCUGUCAAGUGGCAUUAUUGAACCUUCCCUCUACCAGCUUUCCCAGAAAUACAACUUCAACAAGAUGAAAUGUCCCAAGUACUUUCCUUGCCUGUACCCCCACACGGUCAAAUGUUAUAAGCCACACCAACAACUUGUACCCACAAGGGUGACCUCCCGCACGAGCUCCAUGGCCCUGGGGCCAAAAAAAAAGGGGGGG